GUAGGUGGCAAGCGUUGUCCGGAAUUAUUGGGCGUAAGGCGCGCGCAGGCGGUUCUUUAAGUCUGAUGUGAAAGCCCACGGCUCAACCGUGGAGGGUCAUUGGAAACUGGAGAACUUGAGUACAGAAGAGGAAAGCGGAAUUCCACGUGUAGCGGUGAAAUGCGUAGAGAUGUGGAGGAACACCAGUGGCGAAGGCGGCUUUCUGGUCUGUAACUGACGCUGAGGCGCGAAAGCGUGGGGAGCAAACAGGAUUAGAUACCCUGGUAGUCCACGCCGUAAACGAUGAGUGCUAAGUGUUAGGGGGUUUCCGCCCCCCUUAGUGCUGCAGCUAACGCAUUAAGCACUCCGCCUGGGAUACGGCCGCAAGGCUG
rnacentral:rRNA from 1 species